AGAAAGUUAGUCUAACUAAGAUAGCUGAUUUCGGCUCAGCAGAUUAUAGUCACCCCUAUAACUUUCUU
rnacentral:tRNA from 4 species